UCACCCAGUCGCUUGAGUCCACGAAUGCUGGAGGCAGGCACUGGAGAGCCAGGGUGGUUCAGCCGCAGCUCCUCUGAGCAGGGAGUCAAACAGGGCUGAAACAGACACCAGCUCUCCAGGACCAGCUGGAGUUCACAGUCCAGAGGAGAAGCCCGAUGCUGAACAGAGAAUCACAUCCGUGAGCAACACAAAAGGCAAGGCAAACCCUGGGCAGAUGCCCCCGGGACUGUGUGUUAUGGGCCUACAGGAAGCCUCUCCCAAUGAAAAAGCAAUUUUUCAGCCAGAACCUCCACCAGUGUCUUUCAAACUGUCUCAAUCAAAAACCUCUGAAAGCCACUGGCCUAGAGUUAGAGGAAGAGUUAGCCAUGAGAAAUGGUGGUGACACAGGUUCCAAAAGAAGAAACAAUAGGUAUCAGGCUCAGAGAUGAAAGGGCUAGAAGGAGGACACACCAAGUUCAAGCAUCUUCUUCAUCCCUGGGCCUCACCCCAUGGGCAGGAGGGAAAUGGCAGGAAGUUGUCUUUGUGUCUCCCCAGGAGCCUGGACCUGUGGCCUUCCCUGCCUCCACCUGGGCCUCAACCGUCACGACCACCUGGCCUUUGAGGUAGGGUUUGGAGAAGGAAGUCAGCCUAUUAUCAGGAGAAGGCUUGAAUUUCUAUAUUCAUAGCUUGUUUCUGUCACUUACUAGCCUUGUGAUCAUGGGCAACUUGUCUAAUCUCUGUCCCUCAGUUUCCUCCUUUGUAAAAUAGGUCUCAUAGAACUCAUCCCCAAAAGUCCUUGUGAAGAUUUAGUUUGUAAGCCAGAUGUCUGCAGACCUCCAGUAAAAGAAUAUGUUUUUGGUAUUAGUAUUUCAAAUUUACCUGGAUGUCCUGUAUUUUAUCUGGAAACCCUACACAGAAAUCAAAUGGCUCACGCUGUGUCUCAGAGCUGCAACGAUCCAACGCCCUCCAUCCUUCAGAGGCUGUCUGAGUCCGGGGACACAACUCCCACCCUCCUCUCCUGCCAGCCGCGGCCCGUGGCUGCUCUCUUCACUUCGUCCCGCUUCGCCCCGACUGUGGAUCUACCCGCUCCCUUCUCCCUCAGUCCCCAAAGCACCAGACUCACAGGCCUGCUGUGUGACCCACUUUUACCGACCUUUCGGGGAGAGUAGAGGGCAUUUGUGACUCAGCUCAGAGCAGGAAACACAUCUCACGUCAACUGUCAGACAGCGCUGCUCCGAAUCCCAUCACAGUGCUCCAGCAGGGGGCGUCCUCACCGGCCGCGGCCACAGCCACGGCUCAACCCGGCCUAGCUCCCAGACACCCUCCUUCCACCGCCUGUUUUCCACCGUCCCCGCCUGCUCUUUCAAGCCAGCAGCAAACAACACCCUAAUCCGUGUCUUUAUUAUUCAAAGACCUUAAGCACUCUUUCCCACCUCGUUCCCAUCUUGAUUAUUUCAGGGAAUGAAUUAGGGAUUCACCUUUACAAUCAAAAAAGUUCUCUCAAAGCCAGGCUACUGGAGUUCUAAUUCUGCCUUCCCACUUUUACUAGCUGUGAAAUCUCAGGAAAGUUACUUAACCUCUCUCUGUCUCAUUUUCCUCAUCUUUAAAAAACAGGAUGAUAAUAUUUAGCUCCUAAGAUGGUUGUGAGGAUUUAAGUGAGCUGAUAUAUCCAAGAAUGUCUAGAACAGCGCGUGGCAGAAUGGGCAUUGCAUAUGGGUUUAAUCUUGUAACUGCCAUGUUUCACCAAUUCUAAGGUGUAUCUCGUUUCUCAUCAUAAGAGCUCUUCCGCUCGUGUGGCAGCUGGGAGUGGCCGUCAUUGCCUGCGCAUACCUAAACUUGGUCAGGGCAGAAUGAUUGCUAGUCACACGUGAAGCAAGAAAACCCCGGCAAUAAAGCUUGCAGAAUGAGUGGCUGAGGCUUGAAAAUAAAUGGUGGAAACAAUAGUGGACAAUCUUUUAAAGAAUGGCACAUUGCCAAUGCUCCUGAUGGCACAGAAGGUGACACCAUGCAGAAAAUCAAGGCUCUGAGUCAAAGAGGGUUUCAGAAAAAUUGGACUCUGAAUGUGAAGAAAUCUGGGGACUAUUUUAGCCAAUUUGUUUUGCCUAUAAUUUCCUUUUAUGCAUGCAAAAGAGCAAUUCUGACUUUAAAGACUGAUAUCUAAAUAAAUCUAAAAUAUCUUUUUUGUGUGUGUGUCUGUGAUACAGUGUCUCGCCCUUUCACCCAGGCUGGAGUGCAGUAGUGCAAUCUCAGCUCACU
rnacentral:lncRNA from 10 species